rnacentral:rRNA from 1 species
GGAACUGCCUUUAAAACUACUAGUCUAGAGUUCGAGAGAGGUGAGUGGAAUUCCGAGUGUAGAGGUGAAAUUCGUAGAUAUUCGGAGGAACACCAGUGGCGAAGGCGGCUCACUGGCUCGAUACUGACGCUGAGGUGCGAAAGUGUGGGGAGCAAACAGGAUUAGAUACCCUGGUAGUCCACACCGUAAACGAUGAAUGCCAGUCGUCGGGUAGUAUACUAUUCGGUGACACACCUAACGGAUUAAGCAUUCCGCCUGGGGAGUACGGUCGCAAGAUUAAAACUCAAAUGAAUUGACGG